rnacentral:snRNA from 1 species
GUGCUCACUUCAGCAGCACAUAUACUAAAAUCUGAAUGAUACAGAGAAGAUUAGCAUGGUCCCUGCACAAGGAUGACACAUAAAUUCAUGAAGCCUUCCAUUAAAAA